ACCGGAUUAGAUACCCUGGUAGUCCACGCCGUAAACGAUGUCGACUUGGAGGCUGUUCCCUUGAGGAGUGGCUUCCGGAGCUAACGCGUUAAGUCGACCGCCUGGGGAGUACGGCCGCAAGGUUAAAACUCAAAUGAAUUGACGGGGGCCCGCACAAGCGGUGGAGCAUGUGGUUUAAUUCGAUGCAACGCGAAGAACCUUACCUACUCUUGACAUCCAGAGAACUUUCCAGAGAUGGAUUGGUGCCUUCGGGAACUCUGAGACAGGUGCUGCAUGGCUGUCGUCAGCUCGUGUUGUGAAAUGUUGGGUUAAGUCCCGCAACGAGCGCAACCCUUAUCCUUUGUUGCCAGCGAUUCGGUCGGGAACUCAAAGGAGACUGCCGGUGAUAAACCGGAGGAAGGUGGGGAUGACGUCAAGUCAUCAUGGCCCUUACGAGUAGGGCUACACACGUGCUACAAUGGCGCAUACAAAGAGAAGCGACCUCGCGAGAGCAAGCGGACCUCAUAAAGUGCGUCGUAGUCCGGAUCGGAGUCUGCAACUCGACUCCGUGAAGUCGGAAUCGCUAGUAAUCGUGGAUCAGAAUGCCACGGUGAAUACGUUCCCGGGCCUUGUACACACCGCCCGUCACACCAUGGGAGUGGGUUGCAAAAGAAGUAGGUAGCUUAACCUUCGGGAGGGCGCUUACCACUUUGUGAUUCAUGACUGGGGUGAAGUCGUAACAAGGU
rnacentral:rRNA from 1 species